rnacentral:lncRNA from 1 species
ACCCGUGACGGUCAUGAGAACUUCUCAAGAGCUUCGAGAGCCACACACACACACACACACACACACACACACACACUCACACUCACAGAGCAGAAUCACAGCAGACGGAUCAGAUCAGGAGUUUGUUCAUCAUGUCUUACGGCGGAUCAGGUUCAGGAUCUCGAGGUGAAUUCAGCGUUCAUUUCUCCAGCAGAAGUGGAGCAGGACUCAUCAGAGCUGAAGAGGCUGCAGGGAUCGCUCUGCUGGCCGUGGUCCUCACCGCGCUGCUCAUCCUGGCUGCUGGUAUUACCGCCGGAGGGGGGGGUACAAGAUGAUCCGGGUGAGUCAUGUGACCGCAGGGUUACCCCCAUCUCAAACCGAGAGCAUCGGAGCAGAGAAGAGUGCCCUGCUGUAGGAGAUCAUGAUGCUUGCAACACCAAGGCCCUGGGUUUGAUUCCCAGGGAGUGCAUGAUGAUAUUCUCCUGAAAUGCAAUAUUUAUAACUUUGCAUGAAUGCUUCUGCAAAUAAAGGCAAAAGCAGCAUGUGUUAAUGAGAUACUGUACUUGUUGGUCAGGAUUGUCAAAGCUCCAGCUGUGAGGAUUUUAGGAUUCACUCAUGAGUUCAUCAUGUGCUUUCUGACCUCUGGUGUGUGUGUGUGUGUGUGUGUGUGUUCAGAGCGAGAGAAACA